UCCGGCCAAAUCAAGCCGAAACCCCGGUUCUCGUCCGAUAACCGAAGUUAAGCAACGUUGAACGUGGCUAGUACCUUGAAGGGUGAUCGCUCGGGAAUCCAGGAAUUGUCAG